AGUUGCCAUCGGGUAAUGCCGGGCACUCUGGAAGGACUGCCAUCGACAAGAUGGAGGAAGUGGGGAUGACGUCAAGUCAUCAUGGCCCUUAUGUCCAGGGCGACACACGUGCUACAAUGGCCGGCACAACGGGAAGCGAGUUCGCGAGGACGAGCGGAUCCCUCAAAGCCGGUCGCAGUUCGGAUUGAAGUCUGCAACUCGACUUCAUGAAGCUGGAAUCGCUAGUAAUCGUGGAUCAGCCAAGCCGCGGUGAAUACGUUCCCGGGCCUU
rnacentral:rRNA from 1 species